rnacentral:rRNA from 1 species
GAGUAACCUGCCCUUGACUCUGGGAUAAGCCUGGGAAACUGGGUCUAAUACCGGAUAUGACCUUCCAUCGCAUGGUGGUUGGUGGAAAGCUUUUGUGGUUUUGGAUGGACUCGCGGCCUAUCAGCUUGUUGGUGGGGUAAUGGCCUACCAAGGCGACGACGGGUAGCCGGCCUGAGAGGGUGACCGGCCACACUGGGACUGAGACACGGCCCAGACUCCUACGGGAGGCAGCAGUGGGGAAUAUUGCACAAUGGGCGCAAGCCUGAUGCAGCGACGCCGCGUGAGGGAUGACGGCCUUCGGGUUGUAAACCUCUUUCAGUAGGGAAGAAGCGUAAGUGACGGUACCUGCAGAAUAAGCGCCGGCUAACUACGUGCCAGCAGCCGCGGUAAUACGUAGGGCGCAAGCGUUAUCCGGAAUUAUUGGGCGUAAAGAGCUCGUAGGCGGUUUGUC